rnacentral:rRNA from 1 species
GAUGAACGCUAGCUACAGGCUUAACACGUGCAAGUCGAGGGGAAACGACAUCGAAAGCUUGCUUUUGAUGGGCGUCGACCGGCGCACGGGUGAGUAACGCGUAUCCAACCUGCCCAUCACUUGGGGAUAACCUUGCGAAAGUAAGACUAAUACCCAAUGAUAUCUCUAGAAGACAUCUGAAAGAGAUUAAAGAUUUAUCGGUGAUGGAUGGGGAUGCGUCUGAUUAGCUUGUUGGCGGGGUAACGGCCCACCAAGGCAACGAUCAGUAGGGGUUCUGAGAGGAAGGUCCCCCACAUUGGAACUGAGACACGGUCCAAACUCCUACGGGAGGCAGCAGUGAGGAAUAUUGGUCAAUGGGCGAGAGCCUGAACCAGCCAAGUAGCGUGCAGGAAGACGGCCCUAUGGGUUGUAAACUGCUUUUAUAAGGGAAUAAAGUGAGAGUCGUGACUCUUUUUGUAUGUACCUGAUGAAUAAGGACCGGCUAAUUCCGUG